UAGACGCGCCGGCCCUCCGGCGACCAGAUUCGCAGCGCUACCCCCAAAUCGCCCCUGCCUCCACCAGAUCGACUGUCCCGCCGCCCACAAGACCUAGCGCAUCUCACCGCCGGGGCGCGGCCACCUCCAGCGCUCCUCCACCCAUCACCACCGGAGCUCCUCCACCCAUCACCACCGCAAGCCGCCGCCACCCCCGAGCAUCCACUACCGCCGCCGCUCCCAAGCAUCCACCACCUCCAGCGCGCCCCGCCCCCACCUCCAGCGCUCCUCCACCCCUCACCACCGCAGCUCCUCCACCCCUCACCACCACAAGCCGCCGCCACCCCUGAGCAUCCACCGCCGCCACCGCCCCCAAGCAUCCACCACCACCACCGCCGCCGCCCCCAACCAACCAUCCACUGCCCACCUCCUCCUCCUCCUCCCAACCAUCCACCACCCUCCACUUGACCGCAAGCCACUGCUGACCACUGCCGUCGUCGCCUAGAGCUACAUCUCGGAAUCGUGCGUUUCCUCCCCGAGCACGGGUCCACCUCCUCCACAAGCCCUCGAAGCAGAAGAUCACCGCUUUGGCCCUCCUCUCCAGCGGGAACCUCUGGCUGCUGAGCAUCAACAUCGCUAGCUGUUGUACUGGUUUUGAACAAUUUCUGCGCCUCCUAAUACUGCUUACCUGAAGGUAUAUAGUUGUAUUAGAGUUCUUACAUCAUGGACAUGUUCCCAAUAGCUAUGCAAAAAUAGUUUCUACUAUUGCUUCCCUCUUUGUCUUGUUUGUUCUGAAUGUGCAGCUAUACACAAUGUGUAGAAGUGUAAUAAUAUUGAAGUAGUAGCACUGAACUAUUCUGUUAGUUAGAGCAAAGCACCAAUUUUUAAUUGCUUUGAUCUAAUAACAUAAAAAACAUGAGCUUUGGAGUAGCAGCACUGAACUAUACUGUCAGUAGCAGCACUGAACUAUUUUGUUAGUUAGAACAAAGCAUCUAUUGUCUGUCAGUUUGAAGGUUAUUUACUUUGAUCUAAUAACAGCAAAAACCUGACUAAGUUGUUUAGUUGAGCUUUGGAGUUCAUUUUAAGUCUUUGUUUGUUGAGUUGAUGCCCCAAGGUAGCACCAUCUUUGUUUGUGUUUUGCGAAAUACGAGAUGUGGAUAGACAAUGUGCUAUGCUUUUAUGAUAUAGACUUAUGGCAAAGAUGUGGACAAAGCACAUGCUAUGCAAUAUUUCACUUAAAUUAAUAUCUCUAUGUUACUAACAGCUUGCUCUUGUUUACAAAUGCAGUGUAUAUUUGCGUGGUGUAUUUCCUAUAGUAUUCCAACUUAUAUUUUAUUAGGUGACUCUAGCUUAACCCUUAUUAAUUUUACAAGGUGAUAUUUGUAAUUUGUUUGGGCUUAGUGUCACCUAUUGUCGGCCUCCUCUACAUCCUCUCCAAGUGCCACCUCCUCUACUUCUUUGCCCCAACUGAGAGAAUUUGACAUGUUGGAGAUGUCCCCGAAGACUGGUUAAGAUACCUUGCUGUAACCAUAUGCUCCGAGCUCAAGUAGAAGACUUACAAGCUUUACUCUUUGUGCUACUUCCAUUCUGUACAACUUGGACGUCUUGAAACUGCAUUUGCUAAAUUAUGAUGCAAUUCUUUAUGUGUAAUCUAUGAAUAGCAUACAUUGUAACGAUUUAAAUGCUUGACUAUGAGAAAUUCUAAUAUAAAUGUGAAGUACACAUGCAAUUUCCUUC